AGUUUAUAUAGUUUAAGUAAAACAUUACAUUUUCAUUGUAAAAUUAAAAUUUUUUUAUUUUUAUAAAUUAC
rnacentral:tRNA from 1 species